AUACAUGUAUGAAUCUUAUAAAUACAGUAUGUCAUUAAACGACAAGAAAUGAAAGUUCAUGUAGAGUGUAAAUGUAAGAAAGGUUUCAAUUUCAAUAAUACAUGAGGGUAUGGACUGCAACGCUCGUGUGUGUUCAAAAUUUUAAUUUCAAUGUAAAUAUUUUUAUAGCGCCCUGCAGGAGAGAAUCUAAGAGAAGAGAAAAAAGAAAACAUUGCCUUCGUUGUUUUUCACCGGAAUAUUCGACGUAAUGGUAAAUAAACAAAUUCCAGGAUUCUUGAUGGAUAAGAGCACACCCAGAUUUUAUCUCGAGAUAAAAUAUAGAAAAUGAAAACCAGAUUUGGGUUACUGGAUAUUCAUUGGAACAUAUAAAGACUACGUAUUUUAUCGCAGCUCUUAGUUUCAGCCAGUAUAAGAUCAACAAAAGGAGUGUUUGAAGAUGCAGAGAAAAAUCCUUUGUGUUUUAGUGAUUUUCCUUAUUCUGGGGAUAUGUUCAUGCCAACGAGCUACCAAUGGGCCUAUCCCAUCCAGAUUUAGGCAGAAUCUCCAGCGAAUUUUGAAUGGCAAUACUGUUCAACACCCGAGAGGGAAUCCAUCUGUGGACGUCGAAAGAAUUCUUACUGCCAGAAGAGGAGGAAUGUAUCAUGCUGGUGGCAGACGACAGCGGCCGUGUAAACGCAGAAGAUACAGGAGGCGUAGAUGUUGAAACACUGCACAGAAACCAGAAUCAUUUUAAAUAUUUACUUUGAACUUUGAACUUCUUACACAUUGGUAAACAUGUAUAAUGCGAUGGAAUAUCGUAUAUGUAUAGUAAGAAAGUUAUGAAGAAUAUAUCAACUUGCCACAAAGUA